AAACUAGAGAGUUUGAUCCUGGCUCAGAACGAACGCUGGCGGCGUGGAUUAGGCAUGCAAGUCGAGCGGCAACCUCAAUAUAUAAGUAUCCUCGGAUACUUAUGUGAGGUGAGAGCGGCGCAAGGGUGAGUAACAUGUGAGUAAUUUACCCUCAAGACGGGGAUAACCAACCGAAAGGUAGGCUAAUACCCGAUAAGACCACAAGAGGGCAUCCUAUUGUGGUAAAAGAUGGCUGAGUCCUUUGGACGCUGUCGCUUGAGGAUAAGCUCGCAUCUUAUCAGCUUGUUGGUGAGGUAAAGGCUCACCAAGGCGAUGACGAGUAGCUGGUCUGAGAGGAUGGUCAGCCACACUGGGACUGAGACACUGCCCAGACUCCUACGGGAGGCUGCAGUCGAGAAUCUUUGGCAAUGGGCGAAAGCCUGACCAUGCGACGCCGCGUGAGGGAUGAAGGCCUUCGGGUUGUAAACCUCUGUCACAGGGGAGGAAAGACAAUGAACUUAAUAGCUUCAUUGUUUGACAGUACCCUGAGAGGAAGCCACGGCUAACUCCGUGCCAGCAGCCGCGGUAACACGGAGGUGGCAAGCGUUGUUCGGAAUCAUUGGGUGUAAAGCGCAUGCAGGCGUCCUAACAAGUCAAAGGUGAAAGCCCUUGGCUUAACCAAGGAAUUGCCUUUGAAACUGUUAGGAUUGAGUUCGGGAGAGGAGAGUAGAAUUUCCGGUGUAAGGGUGAAAUCUGUAGAUAUCGGAAAGAAUACCUGUGGCGAAGGCGACUCUCUGGCCCGAAACUGACGCUCAGAUGCGAAAGCUAGGGGAGCAAACAGGAUUAGAUACCCUGGUAGUCCUAGCUGUAAACGUUGGGCA
rnacentral:rRNA from 1 species